GCAACGGUCCCGAGGUACUGCCUUUCCCUUAGGACCAGGCAGAGCCACGACUCCUGAGAUGCACUUGGGCAAUGACGUAACGUGGCGUCGCGAGGGCCUAACUACCGGAGCGGUUCCAUGGUAACGGUGAGGAGAGUGGUUGGGAGCUGCAGUCAUUUUGCUGCUACCUCGGACUGCUGUAGUCCGAAGGGAAGAGAAAGAGAGAGGAUAUAUAUCCUUGUCUUUGUAUAUUCAUAUCUUGGCUCUGACAGGAUGCAUUAAAGUGACUGACACUGGGGAGGAAAAUUGGGAACAAAGAUUGGCUGUUGACUAAUGUUUCUGUUGGCGAAAGUCCUACAAGAAUCCUUCUGGGCUUAAAGGGCAAAAGGAUUGAAGGUGAUGGUUUACCUGCCCUGAGGCAAUCCAUGGGUGAGUGUGUGAAUGUGUGUGA